rnacentral:lncRNA from 1 species
UCUUAAACGAAAUCAGACCUGUGUACAUGUGUGUAUUUAAGUCCAUGACAGCUUAUUCUUUUUCAAGCUUAUUUUUUUUCCUGCAGCGAUACGGCAUUUCCCGGGUUUGCUAAACUAUGCAAAUUUGUGCUUUCAGUACUCUUCUCCUAUUUUUCUUUUUCGACUGGUUUCUUGGUGUGUGGUGGUGAUAUUUCUCUAUGAAUUUUAUCAUAUUUAGCUACCAAAGUUAGAACUAUAGCUUCUGUAUUUUCUAACUGCAGAGUCACAUUGAUCAAACCAGAUACCACCCUUUCUUUUUACGGUUCGUGCUUUAGAGCAUGAUCAUGGGGUGGCAGUCGUUUGUGGUCCGAGUACAAAAGCUCCGGUCGUGGAAGAAGUGUUCGAGGUACAUUCAAGAGCAAAGGACGCGUCUUUACAUCAUUUGGAGGUGUUUGGUGUUUCUCUUAAGAUCGAAAUUAGAAAGUGCAAGUUUUGAUGAUUGAGGUAGAAACAAGACCUCAAAAUCUAGAUGAUCGUGUUGUCAAUAAAAAUGAGCCAAAUCAGCUGUCCAUGUCUUUCCGCGGUGGACAUUCUCAUCAAUUUGGUAUCCAUGGUUGACAGCUGAUCUGGCUCUUUUCUGUUUACAAGAGGGUCAUCAAGAUUUCGAGGCCAAAAGAUAGACCAUGAGAAGUAUGAGCAAUUUAGGGGAGGUAUUUUGAAAUUACAAGCAAAAUGGCUCGUCUGCUACUCAAACUUGACAUAGAUGAGGGAAAACGAGCAGAAUUCUCUCUGCCAAUCCAAUGCCAACAGGUUUGAAAUACAAACUUUCAUGGCAAGUUGGAGAUGAGAAAAUCAAUAAGAUUAAUAGAGAAUGUGUAAAAUUUAUGUAAAUUAAGUUGAUGGAAUAUAACAUUGAUUAUCUGUUAAGACCCUGUGUUGCUGCUAUGCUGCUGUUAUGGUCCUGUGAAGCUCCUGGUUAAUAGAUUGGUUGGGGAAUAGGUAAGAUGAAUCUGUGGAAGAAUAUUUCUAUAUUAGUAGUGUUCAUCUGUAAAGCAAGAACAAUUAUAACUGAAGAUUGUGUUAAUAUUUCAUAGAACGUAAAAGAACAGUUCCCAGCAUUCGAGAGGCUGGAUUCUCUCCUAGUUGGCUCAACCAAUUGCUCAAUAUUUGCAUACCCAUUCUGCUCCCUCUCCUAUUACAUUUAUACUACUACUUGCCCCCUUAAUUCCACAAACUACCCCCUGAUAACUAAUUGGAAUUGGAACACUCUAGAAUAUGGCAUAUCCAACUUCAACGACUAACUUGGGGGUGUACCAUUAUCUACUUGUGUUCUCCUCCAUAGACAUUUACAAUGCACAUUUAUGCUCGAUCAAAACUUGUGCAGGUUUGCAGAAGUGAUGAACUUUGCCUUCCGUGAACUAUUGACCAUUUCGAUUUAAAUGAUAUUUUAAAUCCUCCGUUUUGUUAUUGUUUCGAGAGUAAUCUCAACAAUCGAUCUAGAGAAAUCGACAGACCCAUAGCUCAGAUGAUUAGAGCACAUAGUUUAAAUCUACUUAGAGGUUCAUUGUCAAUUGGUGUUAUGCCUAUAAGAGAUGAAGAAGAUUCAUGUUGUUAGUAUUCU